UGAAGCCACUUCCCCUGUGAUCAGAGAGCCGAAUGGGCCGCCCUCAGCUUCCACGAAGCCAGCGCCUCGUCGCUCUUUGGGCAAUGGCUGGGUGAGGCGUUUCAGUGCAUCGACUUUCUCUCUGACACACCCGCGCUUGACGCUCUAUAAUACGCAGCUCCGCCCACACUACGAGUCUGAACGUCGUUAUCUUGGAAGAAGCAAGAACUUGGGGAAACAGUGGAAGUUCUUUACUGCUGUUUUGAGGGCAGUUUUGACCUGAACGAGAGUGAAUCAACUGAAGUUUAAUCCAGACAAGACAAGUACUGCUAAAUGGAAGAUAUGCUGAUCUGGAUAUAUGUGCGCAACCUGUAUUGAUGGGGUUGCAUGUCUCCUGAAACAAAAUACCUGAUUUAAAAGAAGUACCAUGAACAUCAUGAACAUACUUCUUCAAGGAGAAUAUCACGACUGCCCAUGUGGAU